rnacentral:misc_RNA from 1 species
UGGUUCUGGCAUCGAUGAAGAACGCAGCGAAAUGCGAUAAGUAAUGUGAAUUGCAGAAUUCAGUGAAUCAUCGAAUCUUUGAACGCACAUUGCGCCCCGUGGCAUUCCGCGGGGCAUGCCUGUCCGAGCGUCAUUGUGACCAAAUCACGCCUGGCGUGGUCUUGGGGCGCGCAGCUCUGCCGCCCUCAAACGCAGUGGCAGCGCCGGGUGGCCCUUAGCGUAGUAAUACUCCUCGCUAUAGGGUCCGCCGGUCGCCCGCCAGCAACCCCUUCAUUGCGCGGUUGACCCCGGAUCAGGUAGGGAUACCCGCUGA